rnacentral:rRNA from 1 species
AUGGCAGAACCGACUGACACGCAGAGCCACGAUUGGAAUUCCCUCCCCGAUGUUCUCUUGGAGCAGAUCUGUAAUCGUAUGGACCUACUCAGCACCGUCCGUGUGGCCGCAUGCUCGUCGAAGAAGGAUUGGCUGGUGCUGCCGGCUGGUGUCAAGUUCGAUCCCACGGAUCAAGAGCUGAUCGAGCACCUUGAGGCCAAAGUGAGUGCUGACAGCGCGAGAUCUCACCCUCUCAUCGAUUUGUUCAUACCAACCAUCGACAGCGAGCACGGCAUAUGCUACACCCAUCUUGAGAAACUUCCAAGUAUCACACUGAGUGGCCUAAGCAAGCAUUUCUUCCAGCGCAAUUCCAGGGCGUUCAAAAGGGGCACGUGGACGCGUCGCAAGAUACAGUCGGAGUGCAGCAUGCACGCGAUGUGGCACAACACCGGCAAUACCUUGCCGGUGAUGGUCAACGGCCGGCAGACGGGCAGCAAAAAGGUUCUGGUGCUACACCAACAAGAACUUCGACCAGCAGAGGACCAACUGGGUGAUGCACCAGUACCACCUCGGGGACCUGGAGCAAGAGAAGGAGCGGGAGCUGGUCCUCUGCAAGAUUUUCUACCAGACGAACACUAG